AUGCCACAACAACAGUUAACAACAACAGUUCAUUAAAUAGAGGGUUAACAGUCAACAGGUUGCUUCAGGCAUGUUUAAAUUGAAUCCCCAUCUCAGUUAUGAUCUCGUUCAUACCGGUCUACACGAGUCUGUCUAGGAAUCUAUAAAAUAAGAACAGAAAUGCAUCCCGUAGAACAGACAAGGAUAAUUGUGUUGUAGAACAUCCUAUUGUGUCAGCUUUGCACUCUAGAUUUCUACCUGGCAAUAGAUGUUUACCUUUUAGUCAUUUAGCAGACGCUCUUAUCCACAGCUACUUACAGUUGCACAUUCAUCUUAAGAUAGCUAGGUGACAAAACCACAUAAGUCAUAGUAAGUGCUGUAAAUUCUUUCAAAAUAAAAAGUAGUUAUCAUUAAAGUCAGUGCUUGAAGGAAAAGUCCAGCGCAAGGUUCUUUUUUUGCGCGGAGGGGAAUAAAACAUGUCUUAUUUAAAAUACUUGUUUCUAAUUAGGCCCCUGUGUAUCGGUUGAGAGGGGGUGGGCCGUUGGUUGUACUGUUAAUAUAGGUUGAGGGGGAUGUGGGCCGUUGGUUGUACUGUUAAUAUAGGUUGAGGGGGAUGUGGGCCGUUGGUUGUACUGUUAAUAUAGGUUGAGAGGGGGUGGGCCGUUGGUUGUACUGUUAUUAUAGGUUGAGAGGGAUGUGGGUCUUUGGUUGUACUGUUAUUAUAGGUUGAGAGGGAUGUGGGUCUUUGGUUGUACUGUUAUUAUAGGUUGAGAGGGAUGUGGGUCUUUGGUUGUACUGUUAUUAUAGGUUUAAGAGGGAUGUGGGUCUUUGGUUGUACUGUUAAUAUGGGUUGAGAGGGAUGUGGGUCUUUGGUUGUACUGUUAUUAUAGGUUGAGAGGGAUGUGGGUCUUUGGUUGUACUGUUAAUAUGGGUUGAGAGGGAUGUGGGUCUUUGGUUGUACUGUUAUUAUAGGUUGAGAGUGAUGUGGGUCUUUGGUUGUACUGUUAUUAUUGGUCCAUCAUGUCUCUUACA